GACGAACGCUGGCGGCGUGCUUAACACAUGCAAGUCGAACGGAAAGGCCCUGCUUUCGUGGUACUCGAGUGUCGAACGGGUGAGUAACACGUGGGUGUUCUGCCCUGCACUUCGUGAUAUGCCUUGGAAACUGUGUCUAAUACCGGGUAUGAGCCAUUUUUAUUGUGAUGGUUGGAAAGUUUUUUCGGUGUAGGAUGAGCUCGCGGCCUAUCAGCUUGUUGGUGGGGUAAUGGCCUACCAAGGCGGCGACUGGUAGCCGGCCUGAGAGGGUGGACGGCCAAAUUGGGAAUGAGAUACGGCCCAGACUCCUACGGGAGGGAGCAGUGGGGAAUAUUGGACAAUGGGCGCAAGCCUGAUGCAGCGACGGCGCGUGGGGGAGGAAGGCCUUCGGGUUGUAAAAUCCUUUCGCUAGGGAAGAAGCUUUUUGUGACGGUACCUAGAUAAGAAGCACCGGCUAACUACGUG
rnacentral:rRNA from 1 species